GUAGUUGUGUCCCAGUGGUUAAGGCGAUGGACUGGAAAUCCAUUGGGAUAUUCCGCCGUAGGUUUCAAUUCUAUGAACUAAG